CUCUCUCUCUCUCUCUCUCUCUCUCUCUCUCUUCGCCUGCACUUUCUUCCGUCACGGCACUCUCGUUGGGGCUUAGUCUCAACACGGUGGAAUCUGGCAUUUCAAGCAGUGGGCAUAAUUUGAAGAGAAGGAAUCCGGAGCUAUAACUCAAUUUUCCAAUCAAUUCAACGAAAUUAUGUAUUGUGGAGAAGGGGAUAAUGGUGAAGAUGGUGAUAGUGAUGGAGACGAUGAUGAAGACGUAGAAGAAGAACCCAUAGUGAGGACAAGAAGAUAGAAGCACACAGUAGCAAGAAAAUCUAAAAAAGGCAGAGCUUCUGAAAAAGAGGAAACAAAAGGACAAGCAACAAGAAGCAAAAGGGUAAAAAAAAAAGCUACUGCUAAUGAAGAAGAAGACCUUGAAGAGGAACCAAUUGAAGAGAUGAAGAAAGGGAAGAAGCAAGUUGUAAAGAGAAAUUCAAUGGUCGAUCGAAUCAAGAAGAAAAAAUGAAUGUUGGUCAAGACAAGGAGUUCAUGUAUGCCAGUAAAAGAACAAGGAGAGGCAAGAGGCAUUAGAUGAUAAUUGAAACAAUAGUUUUAUGCAGUGGUGACAGUAGGUUUUUUAGUCUAUCAAAGUAGAUUUUUCAUGUCUGGACAUUAGCUUUAUGUUUGUUUGAUUUCCAAAUUUGAUAUUUGAUGGAAAAUGAUGUGGGGGUGACAGUAGUAUUUUGAAAUAUUGAAAGUGGCUUUAUGAACUGUUAACAGUAGCUUUAUGUUUAA
rnacentral:lncRNA from 1 species